UACGUAGGCAGCAAGCGUUGUUCGGAAUUACUGGGCGUAAAGAGUGUGUAGGCGGUGCUCUAAGUUCGGUGUGAAAUCUCCCGGCUCAACUGGGAGGGUGCGCCGGAAACUGGAAUGCUUGAGCGUGGGAGGGGAAAGCGGAAUUCCUGGUGUAGCGGUGAAAUGCGUAGAUAUCAGGAGGAACACCUGCGGUGUAGACGGCUUUCUGGACCAUUGCUGACGCUGAGACACGAAAGCGUGGGUAGCAAACAGG
rnacentral:rRNA from 1 species